UAGGGAAUAUUGCACAAUGGAGGAAACUCUGAUGCAGCAAUGCCGCGUGGGGGAUGAAGGUUUUCGAAUCGUAAACCCCUUUUAUAUUAGAAGAUAAUGACGGUAUAAUAUGAAUAAGCACCGGCUAACUCCGUGCCAGCAGCCGCGGUAACACGGGGGGUGCAAGCGUUACUCGGAAUUACUGGGCGUAAAGAGUGUGUAGGUGUCCUAUUAAGUCAGAUGUGAAAUCCUAUGGCUCAACCAUAGAACUGCAUUUGAAACUAAUAGGAUAGAGUUCAGGAGGGGCAAGUGGAAUUAGUGGUGUAGGGGUAAAAUCCGUAGAUAUCACUAGGAAUACCAAAAGCGAAGGCGACUUGCUGGAAUGAUACUGACACUGAGACACGAAAGCGUGGGGAGCGAACGGGAUUAGAUACCCCCGUAGUCC
rnacentral:rRNA from 1 species